GGCACGAGAUCAACGCGCCGUUUGGUUUUGGCCAGUACCACAUGAGGGAAUCGAUCUCCUGCCGUGGAGAAGUGAAUCGUUCUCGGUGGCACAGCUGCUUGUGUCACACGUUGUUCCAGUCCUCCAAAAGAAGAAAGAGAGGAAAUUGUAGUCCAGUAUGCGAGGUCCUUUGCUGCAGCCACAAGCGAAGGGUACAAUGAGUAUUGUUUCUUUUCUUCGUCCAUCAUGACGGGUCGAGAUCUUCGUGAGGUUGUUUGUCAACAAGCAGAGCUAAUCAAGGACUCGUUUCAAAUCCACCCGAGCUUCCUCCUGCUCUAGUGUACAUGGUCUCUGCUGCAAAGAUACUUGUGAAAUAGGCCGAAGAGCAGGUUGUACAGCAAUCCUCCAGCUCUUUUUUAUUGCCAGGCUUCACCUUUUAGA